AUGUGCUGUGGGCACCUCAGGAUCCAGCGCAUAGCCUCUUACAGUGCAGGGAGAAGUGUCACUGGGACACGCCGGGACUGGGGACACUGGCAGGCACUGGGACACACAGGGACUGGGGACACGGGCAGGCACUGGGACACACAGGGACUGGGGACACGGGCAGCCACUGGGACACACAGGGACUGGGGACACAGGCAGGCACUGGGACACACAAGGACUGGGGACACACAGAAAGACACUGGGAUAGACAGGGACUAGGGACACAUUAGAUUCACUUUUCAGGUUUUGCAAGAUCCCACUUCUAAAUGUUUUUAAGGAAUAUAAAAACAAAAUGAUAAUUAUUGUUCUCAGAUGAAUAUGUAUUUACUUCCCAGUCCCUGAUUCAAAUCGAAUAAAGAUUUGGAUCAUCAUUGUAUUUCCACUUUGGAUGUUAUCUCUGAGUUAGUAUAACCUAUAUUUUUUAACUUUGUAUCAUUUUACAUUAAAAAAAGUAUUCUAUUGGUGUUUUAGAGCUUAAGAAAUAAGGUAAGUGCAGGCAGUAUUCUGCAGUCUGAGUGCCUUAAAAAGAAAAUUAAAAAAUAUUAUUGCUGUUGUUGUAAUUGACAGGCGUGUUUGUGGUUUUAUAUUACAGACUGGUGUGUCGCUUAUUGUCGUGUAUAUAUAGAUACAAACUUGAUUUUCAUCUUUGUUGAAAGCACUAUUAAGAAAGGAGAAUUUUUGUAGCGCCAAUCCGUCACAAGAGGACGCCACAAUACAGGUUUGGCAUCAAAUGUGGGCUGUAAUCACUGCAGCAGGAACCAGUGUGUAAGUAGCCUUGUUAGAAUGAACAUAGACCUUAUGUAUCAGAUGUGUUUAAUCUUACAGGUAGGUGUAUCGUCUAUGUCAGUGGUCCCCACCCACAUUGUCUGCUGGUUUUCAGUCCAGCUAAGCUCUACAUCUCAAGUGGCUAAUUAAUAAUAAUAAUAAUAAUAAU
rnacentral:lncRNA from 1 species